rnacentral:lncRNA from 1 species
GGUUGAUUACUGAGCUACUAGUAAGUUGAAGAAAUUCUUCAGGAAACAGCAGGAAAAGGCAGACCUUUCUGGCUCCCUCUUUUUCUCCAAAUCAAGCUGUAAGAGCCCUCAUUUGAGAGAUGCCAUUCUAGAAGAAAUGCCUGGAGUUUGCUCUCAGAAGACACAGUGAGCUAGCAGGUCUUGCUCACUUUCCCAGUGUGUUAUCAUUAGACCACACUCUGUUACUGCCAAUCAUAUACAUAUUAUUUCUUACAACUGUCUACUGUUUAUCAAACUGGAACACAGACAUUCACAAGCCUACUUGUCCUCUUGACUAUUUCUUUCUUCUCAAAAGUUCCCAUGUUGUGCAUAUUAAAUCAAUGCGAGCACUUUAUUCUUGCUUAUCUCUGUUUACUCUUUAUGUCUUCUUCUGUAGCACUGCAAGCAUGAGACUAGUGAUGGGUGAGGAAGAAGCCUUAAUUUCCUCUGCUUUACUAAGCGGCAGCUGCUGCCCUUGUUGGAAUCCUGGUGGCCAUGGCACUGAAUUGUUCCCCAGAUCUCGUGUUGUGCACACUUCACCUUUUAGAAAGCUAUUCCCAAGAAGAGAAAGAGAAGGGGAAUACAGCUUUCCCAUGGCACACAUUUUCUCUGCUCUCUCCUUGGCUCUGGAAGAGGGUAAGUGAAAAGCAAUUUCAAGUUGUCAUCAAUGUCUUCAUAAGAUAGGAGUUUUCUUUAUCUAAAGAAAAAUUGUCGUGGUAAUUUACAGUGAGGCCACAAUGCUUGGUCAGAGCAUAAACUCAUCUUUCUACUGUCUAUGUAUUUACUGGCAAAUUUUAAUAUUUUAUUAUGAGAAGCUGGACAUGAGUAAACAGGCAAUGGCCAUUAUAUCUUAUAGAUCUG